UGAUAUUCUGGACAGCUUGUUUUUAAGUCGCAUUUUUUGACUGUUACUUUAAUAUCAAAGAAGUAAUGACAUACUGUAAAUAAUAAUACUGUAAAAACAGUUCUUAGACAAUAUACAUUAAAGUUCGACUUCAGAAUCGAAAAAUCAUAAUUCACGUUAACAUAAGUAAAGUUCGUACGAAAAUUUACACAGGCACAUAAAUCGCAGAUAUGGCAGCAACACAGGCAAAUCCUAAACUGCUUUCGCCAACUGCAAAUGUUUGCUCCUCAAACCUGUUGUCCAUAAAAGCCACAUCUAUAUCUUCAACAACAACUAUGAUGCCCGCGCCCGUACCUACAAAUAUUAAUAUACUAUCUGCGCCAUCUAGAGCAUCUUCUCAGCUAGCCUUCAAUAGCCUAGUUUCAGUAGAGCAGUUACAACAACAUGAUGCAGAUGGAGAUCAGCGAACAUUACAACUAGCUUGGGAAUUAUCAGUCGGUAGUGUAAAUGAAUCGGCCACGGAACGACCAUUGUUAAGUUCUUUUAAUAACCGUAAAAAAUCCAAUAAUGCAAUUAAUCAAUACGAACUAGCACACCAACAAAUAAUUGCAAACUCACAACAUGAACAGCUGAAUCGAAAAGUUGAUAUUGAUACAAAUAAAAGUAUUCAGCCUACUGUUUCUGCAGUUGCCGCCAAAGGUUUUAGUCAAAUUAAUAUAAAUGGUUUAACAAGUAGAAAUAGUAGUACAUCAUUUAAUAAUAUUUCGAUGCCAACACUACUAUUACCACCUACAAUAGAAGAUCGUUCUAAGAGAUCCCAAAAUAUGACCGAAUGUGUGCCAGUGCCCAGCUCCGAACACGUUGCCGAAAUAGUAGGACGUCAAGCUCUCCGGAUUUAAUUGUUUUGCGUGAAUGAAGCAUAAAAACUCAGCUUUUCGACACUAUAUGGUGUGAUGCAAUGUGAUUGGUAGCACUGGAAAUAUACGACUGCAAAGACAUCUAUUGACUAAAUACGAAAAGAAGAUUUUCGACUACCCAAUAUGGAUUGAGGAGAUAGGUCACAAGGGUAUAGCCGCAAAUGAACUGGCUGACGAGAUUACCAGCUCUGCAGCUUCUACUAGUAUGGUGGGACUGAAAGGCUGAAUGAAGGUUGCUCUUGAUAUCAUAAAGGAGCUGUUUCGAAAGGAGGAAAAAGUUGACAGAAAGAAGUAUUGGUAACAACUCCUAGGUGUCGGAGGAGCCGGAAAGUCCCGAGCACCUGUUUAUAUACUGCACACCUGUCUUCAAACCCAAUAUUAAGGCCCUU
rnacentral:misc_RNA from 1 species